GACUUCUAACGUGCAGUCCAACGUGAUGGGGACCCUGCCUGUAAGAGGAGACAUACACAGCCUCACAGGGCCAAAGUCAACUCACAGUGAGGUGCCAUCCGGCUAACCUUUGGGAGCAGAUGAGCAUUUGAGGUGAGUCGGGGAGGCAGCAGGAGGAGCAGGGAUCCACUGCAGCUUUAGAAAUGCCCUCUAAUUUUGUCUCUUGCUCGCUCAGGUAUUCCAGAAGAUGACAGCCACAGUGUCUGACUCCGGUCAGAGCCAGUGACCCAAAGACCUGCCUCGGUGACAGUGAGUAGGGGGCUCAUCGGGGCUGAGGCCACAUGCCACACUACUCAGAUA